GAAAUAUGUCAGCCUCGCUGCUGCUUCCAAAAAGCCAGACAGUGGGAGAAAGAGGGAUAGUCAAGUUAAGGGUUAGAGGUCACUUUCUUUUUUUCUUUUAAAUUAAAGACGCAGAAUGAGCGAGUGAAACCAGAAGCCCUCACAAAUUGUUCAUCAUCCUUUGAGUCAGCCCCGUGCCUUUUUCUUUGUUUACAAAGUGAAUUUUGGUGGCAGGUUCAGUCAAAUGGCUUAGCAAAAACGGAUGGCUUUGGUCAAAAGGUUCAACUUCAAAGAAAGAGACUUUCCAGGGACAGGAAGAAUUCCAAACCGAUCUGAGAAUAUCCACGCUGGCUGCGCUCUCGUGCCGGGGAGGUGUUUUCCCUCGCGUUUUCUGUGUUGCCGCGCCUCCAUUUUUGGCUGUCAGAUCACCAGGAAAAAAAAAAUCAAUAAAAGCAACUGCGGGGCGCAGUGGACUGUGGACUUCCCCGUCUGAGACGCAGGGCUCGCGGGGUGCAGGGAGAGCAGGAGAGCAGCGCUCCAACCCAAGCUGGGAGAGCCAUGGAGACCCCCAAGCAGCAAGCCAGCCCAGCGUGGUAGCUCUCUUCUGGGUUUCGUUUUCAUUAUGUAUUUCCUACGGUGAACUGAGAGCUGAAUUGGGCCUAAAUAACAAAACAGAGGAUUGCGGCUCACACACCCUGGCCAAUACCAGACUGAGAGGGAGAAUAAAAGAUAUUUCUCACUAAUCUGCACUUUGAAUCCUCUUCUAUUCUCAUAACAGAUUGUGGCAGGCCAUAUGUGGAACUUCCAGUGACCAUUGCAGAGAAUCCCAGGAAAGAUGAAUGGAUGAUGUGGAAGAGAAAGCUGCACCCCAGCGGCAAACCUGCAACACAGCUCAGAAGGCGCAAGUGGGCUCUUAAAGGGCCAGCUGAGCCCCAGUGCCGUGCCAGGGCAGGCAGGGAAAACUGUGUCCACUGCCUUCUCCAGUGGCGUUGCUCAGAUGCAAAAAGGUAUGUUUUCAGAAAUUAAAUUAAGGUGCAGGGCCCCAACUGUCCUUAUUGGAAAGAUGCAAAUGCCCAUUUCCUCCAAGCUGAACUGCUCCCAUUUGAGUGCAGCCGUUCUGACAUGUCAGUCUACGAGGGCACAGUGGAAGUUUGAGGACCAAGAAGCCCUUCUGUGUCUAUCCACAAGCAUUCCUAGAGAAGCAGAAAGAAUUAAGGAAUUCUGAGAUCUGGGACUUGCCCUGGCUCUGCUCUUAAUUGGAUCCGGAGAUUGCCACUUUAUUUCUCAUGUUUAUACUCAACUGAUAACAAGGGACAAUAUGUCUGGCACAGCUGGAGUGGAGGGGAUUCCACCAGAGACAGGGAUGGGAAAGGUCAUGCAGAACUUGCAAAAUUCCAAUCACUCAGGAAUUGUGGCGAGGUGGAGGAGAGAAUGACAGCUUCAUGGGGCAAUUAGCUUCUCCAUUUCUUCUGUGGCUUCUGUGCUUUUAAAUUUAUAUGUAUUUUAACCAGCCUGCGUAAAUAGAUAUGCCCGUUUUUAUGAGAAGCUGCCUCAGAUCCCUUUGAAAAUAGGGAGCAUGUAAAGUAAAAUCCAAUAAAUAAUUUUUCAGUGGAAUACUAGCUGCAGUGAGUGAUGCAGGAGGUGCACCUUUGCGCAUCACUAAGCCUGGGGCCACCUUGAAAUAGUGAUGUUUCCAGAAGCAGGAAGCUUUCUGGUCCACAACCCCCUGCACCCCGGAUACUUCUGAACAGCAGCCUUGGGGCAUGUCCCACAGGGCUGAGGACAUCCUGCCUGUCCUUGCCUCUACAGCACAGCCCCCGAGUCCCCCAGAGCAGUCUCACUCUGCCCCUGCUCACCCCACUUCCUGGACCACUCCACCAUUUCCACCAUUUCCCAGACCCUUUAAAGAAUCAGCUCCUCCUUGGCUCAAGAUCAGUGCUUAACAACUGAAUGAAAGAGAAAAUCCUAUAGUGUUUUGGAAGAAAAGAACAGACUGUAGAAAGAUCUUUAUCAUCUUGAUAAACUUCUGAGUCAAGGUGUGACAAGCCUGAUUAACUGAUUAAAUGGAUUCCGUGUGCUUGAUUUGCUUCCUUGCCUCCUUCCCAGUCUUCUCCUUCAAUUCCUGUCCUUAGAACCAAGAUCAGUCAUCUUCUACAGAGAACCCUUCAGGUUCCCCAUCUAGGAUGCACCCUCUGAUUCUCUUUCACUUCCCUCUGUAUACAUGCUCCUUCUAUCCAGAAUGAGCAAUUCCUUUGCUGUCUUACCUGAGCUGGUCUCCUCUUGGGUUUGCUUUGAGACCUGGCACAGAUUAGGCUUUCAAUAAAUGAAAUGUAUGAAAAAAACUGCAGACACCCUCUUUGAAGACCUCCUUGCAUUCGGGAUGCCACUGACUGUACUCUAUAGGGUAUGAUGAAGCUGAUCUUACAAAUGUGUUCAAUGUCAAAGAUUCUACCUUCAGACCUGGAAAGAGUUGGGGAAAUUAGCAGGAAGAGAGGAUUGGAAAAGGCACUUCUCUUGGGAAAGGGCAAGGCAAAAAGUCCUCAUCAGCUGAAGGUGAGAACAAGGAAUUUGGAGUGAUGGUGGCUGUUGAGACUGGAGAAUGGCAGAAGUAGAUCCCCCAGAUCAAACACCAACCAAAGAGACUCUUCAAAUACAAAUAAAUAUCUAACGUCAUUGUCUUUAGGGUGUUUGAGCUUGUAUAGUGCAUUUCUACUCUGGGACCAGGCCCUGAGACUGGGGGUAGCAGUGGAGAAGAUGCAUAGAAAAGGAAGUGAGUCUCCUCAGAAGUUUCCUGGAGCCCUUGACGCAUGCCUUGCAGACUGCAGUAGAAAUGCCUAGUUCUAGAUCAUCCCAGUGGAGAGUAAUCUACAAGGGGACCACCAACUUCAUCCCCAGCUUCUAGGCAGGUGCAAAGUCACUGUCUUAAGAAACUUCAGGGACAAGAGUACAACAUGUAUCCCAGGUCCUGCAAUCUAUUGUUUGAGACACACACACACAUACACCCAAAAUUGUGGAGAAGAUGGAAGGCUGUGACAUAGACUGGUCCAUCAAAAAGUCCACAAUUUCUCCCUCUCAUCCUCCCUCCCACAGAUCUGACCUACUGAAUACUGUGUAUCAGGCACUGUGCUUAGUGGUCAGCCAAAAAGCAAAAUCUGUGAUAUUGUCCUGACCCUCAAGGAACUUACAGCAAUGCACAGUGAAAGAUUUUGGAGUCGCCCCAGGUCAUGAGGGCAGGUUGGAGCUGCAGUUGGCAUGACAUCUGGAUCCCAGUAGUAAAGACACAUACCAAUCAAAUGAUCAAAUGACUAAAGGUAAAAGAACAACUAUGACAGCUGCUAGAAAGGAAAAAAAAGGCACUUGGUAGAGGACAACAGAUAUUAGGAUGUUGCCUGACCAAGGCUCAGCGAUGGGGAGGUCAGAGUAAGACUUAACAUUUUCAUAUAACAGAGAAAAAAUAUUUUAAAGCAAAAAUGCCUAAAGCCUUUUUCACCUUCUAAGGAUGUGUGUGCAUAGGAGGUUGGGGGAACAGGGUGGCCCCAGGUCAUGUGCUUUGGGUUGGGGUUGACAUUGACCUGACAUCUGGUUUGCAUUAAGGCCAAGGACGGGAGAUGGAGAACCUCCCUAUUUUGUUAUUUGGUAUGAAGUCUCACUGGAUUUUAAAGGGAAAAAUCAGAAUUCUGGGGUUGUCUUCAACAAAACCUUUCAUUAAAUCUGAGUACGUUCAGUAACCGGCGCUAAUGGCUACAAAGUGUGGACAAGUGGAUGUCCUGCUGAAGCUGCUUUCCUAAAGGGUUGAGGACCACUUGUGACUGGUGCAGGGAAUGCCGGCGUCCCGAGGGGUGGGUCAGAGACCCUUGAAAGCUGCUUGUCUUAAAAGGUUCUAAAAAGGGUGUCCCACAGAGUCUGUUCACAGAACCCAUCAGCUCAGCAAAUCCUUUGUUCGCAGGCAGAGCAAGGUGGAGACUAUCUGGUUCUUAUCUGAAUGUCCAUGUAUUUCAAAUUAUUUAAGAGCAAAUGAACAAAGUCUCAUUGUUUCAGGAAUUCUGUGGCUCCCAAAUCGACUUGGUUGAUCUGCUAUGGGCAAGAGCUGGGGAUGCGCCUUGCUAUAGUGUCUUUAGGGCUCUGAUGCGUGGUUGUUGCUCCUUAUUGUCCCCCAUGGGGCUCAGAGAUUGAGUCCGUCAUUUGAAAGGGGAGCCAAGGACCUGUGUCCUCGAGAACUGGAAGAAUGACUCAGUGUGAGCAUUUAUACAGGACCUUUUAGCCGUGGCACCAUCCACCUUCAGGGCGGGGUAAUCCUUUGUUGUGCGGUCCACCCUGUGUCCUGUCUAGGAUGCUGAGCAGCAUCUCUGGGCUCCACCCCCAGAUGCCAGAAGCCCUCCUCCCCCAGUCCUGGUCCCUGAAAUAUCUCUGGACAUUGCCAAAUGGCCCCUGGGGGGCCAGAGAAACCUGGCGGGGGGCGGAGAAAACCCUGCACUUGUGGUCCCUACCUGCUCUCCUCGUAAUUUCAAUUCCAGCGAGUACUUUUCUGCUUCCUUCUUUUCUAAGAACUAUAUUUCCGAGGUCCCAAGUGACACAUUCAACUCAUUAAGGCUUCUUAAUUCCCGCAUGAAUUAUUGCUGGAAGGGUCUGGAGGCCCAGUAUCUCGCCUUAUUACACCUGUAGUUAUGGGCACUAACUAUGGCCUUUAUUACAACAUUCAGCAUCAGCCAUUAAAUUCAAGGCAUGAAAAUGAUUAUUUCACCCCCAAAUCCACUUACCACUGGCACAUUUCCAUGCAUGUUCUCAUACCCCCCUGAGCUGCAGGAGCUCUCCCGUCACAGGCUAAGCCCUCUGUGUGGUGACACCCUAUUUACUGAGACUGCAUGUCAAUCAGCCUUCAUUUCUCUUAGAGUCCAAUUUCAGGAUUUUCUUAGGUGUUGGCUUCAGCUAAGAUUUCAAUAAAUAAAGCAAAAGCUAGUGCUGUCACUCUCUCCCUUUCCACCCAAAGAUCUUCCUUUUCCUGAUAGAAACGCAGUAGGGCUAAAACCUUGCUUGUU
ensembl:lincRNA